GGUCGGCUGGCCUAAUGGUAAGGUGUCCGUUUCCGGUCUCUCUCCCUUUAUCCAGACUGCGGAAGAUUGCAGGUUCGAGUCCUGCGUCGAUCG